ensembl:lncRNA
AGCACAACGGACUUUGGAGUUAAUCUGACGCCUCUCAUGAGCAAGGAUGUUACAGUGUAUGUCUAGGCUAUGCAGAGGUCCGAUCCCUUAGUGGUCCCACCUAUCAAUGGACUUAAUAGCAGGGCUUCCCUCAUCGAAUGGAAAUACGUUAUCAUUUUUUCAUAGUAGACAGAUUUUCCGAGGCUGCUCAUUUUGUUCCUCUACCCAAGCUUCCCUCAACAAAGGAGGUUCUGAAUUUAGUGUGGGAUAUUUUAAUAUGAUUCAGAAGGAAUGUCAGAUAAUUCAUUUCAUUAGUUUGAGGAUCAGAUACAUACACAACACGAUGUAAAAAAGGGUUUGGCCCAGCGGGUAGAGGGGUGGGUCAUUAUACACAUUCUAAGCUUUCUGAUUGGAUGGUGUCAGGUUAGAAGUCAGGAUUUGAUUGGUUACAGGGUCAGCCAUUCAGGGCUGGAGUGGGAGUGUCGGGUUAGGUUUUAAAUGUGCUGGCGCCAGUUCAUUCAAACCUUUCUAGAACUUUCUCUUAUUGUGAUUUAAGUAUUGCAAUAAACCCUGCUGAAGAAUUCGACAUUUGCUGGCAUCCCGACUCCAUUGUUUGGCAACCUCGUGGUCUUUGUUUAGACGCAAAAGUAGUUGUCCAGUACCGUGGAGUUCCAGCUGGCAUGGUAUCAGCCUGGGGUCCUCAGGUCAUUUCUAGGUAUUGGAAGGCUCUCUAGUCCCUCUUUAACACCUGUCAGUCUCUCCUUUGGGUUCGACCCAGACUGAGAGGAUCAACCAGGAACUAGAAAAGUACCUACAAUGUGCGGUUUCAGCCAGUCCCAAGGCUUGGAGUUGAUUUGGAGAUCGGAAACGUCUCAAUGACAAUACAGCGGCCAACCCUCCCAGCGCAUCACGAGAUGGUGAAUUCCUGUACACACGAUGCACAGCCAGCAUCGAUGCAAAUCGCCGCAGAAAAAAGGAAAACACAGACCUGCGAGAAUGGCUCCUUGUACAGCGGUGUAUUUUGUUACACGUCCAGGACCAAGGGCCCAUGGUUUCAUAAUCCGUCCAUGUGUGCAUGGUGGUGGUGUGCCUGAGUGGCAUUAGGACUGCAGAAAGUCUGAACUGUACAGUUCACCUGCAGGGUGAUGGAACUGCUCUGUAUAAGAUCAGUGAACUACCAAAGCCCAACUGUGAUGCUGACUGGGCUAUCGACGGUACAGUUGUUGCCCAUGAGGAAGGCUUCAUUCCCCUGAAAAAUGCUUAUUUUUCUCCUUCUGACUCUCUUGACAGUGGCCCAUUAAAGUCUCCUGCGAUGGCCCUGCCUCUUCAAGUCUGAGUGAGGCUCCACAUGAUGCCAACAAGCUGAAUUGGCGAACCAUUUUGGCUGGUGUCGUCAUUGCCCUCCUUGCCCUCCUUUUCCACGCCCUCCUUGUCCUCGGCCUCCUUGUCCAGGCCCUCCUUGUCCUCGACCGCUUUGUCAUCCUACCAGUUGGUGUCUGCUGGUGGAAAAAGAAGGGAUGAAUGGCUGGUGGUGGUGGUGGUGUGCCUGAGUGGGAUUAGGGCUGCAGAAGGUCUGACCUGUACAGUUCACCCGCAGGGAGAUGGAUCUGCUCUUUAUCAGAUCAGUGCACCAGCAAAGCCCAACAGGGAAUAUGACUGGAAAAUCAACGGUAUGGUUGUUGCCCAUGAGGACGAUUCUGACGGAACUAUAGUGCUUAAGCACAAUGGGACCUUUCUUCUUCUCAAAGCCCAUCAUUCGAAUACCACCUAUACAGUGGACACCGCAGAGGGGCGUGUUUCUGUCCCCUGCUAUGGCCCUUUAAGUCUGGGUGAGCCGCCACAUGAUGAUGCCAACAAGUCAAAUUGGGGAGCCAUUUUGGCUGGUGUUGUCAUUUCCCUCCUUGCCCUCCUUGUCAUCCUACCAGUUGGCUUCUGCUGGUGGAAAAAGAAGGGAUGUUUCCGGAAGAAAAAAAGGAGCAAGAAGAUCCUGAGGCCUCUAAGCAGCUGAAUGAUGACAGCAGCAGUGAUGGGAUGUUGUGAGCCAGCCGACCCCCAUUAAUACGGUGCCAGUACCCUCCGGUCCAACCUCUCCUUCUGGUCUUUUCUUUCUGCCUUUUAUUGUUUUUAUUUGUCUCAUUUUGAGGAGGCUUAUGCCUAAGUACCGCAUUUAAUGUAUUUAAACUGCAAUACUUUAGUGAAAUGCACAGGGUACUAUGUGCUAUGCAGCGCUGCUUUGUAGAAUAGAUUAUGCACAUAGUAUUCAAUAUAAUACAUGUUACUAGUGAGCUUUUGCACUCAUACAGUUUCAACCCACCAAUGACACAUUUCAAAAGCAUCUGAUGAAGGGCUGUUUUCUCAAUACUGUAAAUGCCAUACAUAUAGUGGUCAAAGGCAAACACAAGGAAGCACUAUAAGGUCAGUACACUAGAAUGGAAGGGAUUCACGAGCAUUAAAAACCUAUUUUCAUUAAUGCGAACUGCAAACUAUGACAUCACAGAGAUGCCAGUAAGUCCCAUGUGUAAACAAAACACUGAAUGUGUAUUUCAGAUUAGCUUGUUUUUAGGAGGGAAGGGUUAAAGGUUGAAAUUACUUUGUAGGGAGUGUGUGUGUGUGUGUGUGUGUGUGUGUGUGUGUGUGUGUGUGUGUGAGUGAGAGAGAGAGUGUGAAGUAGCAGAAAAUGCAUCCCCUUGGAUAAUAUUAUGAACCGUGAAGGUAGAGUGAUGACAAAAGGGUAGACAAUCUCAAAUGUUGCUGAAAUAUACUUCUACGACUCCAUACUCCGUGGUCACGCAGUUGCCUCGACAAACUCGUUUUCAUUUAUGGUUCUCUGACGGUUGUGGGUGUUGAAAAGCAUCUUUUUUUAAAGAAGGAGGCACACCCAACAACGUAGAUGGUCGUAUUUGUACAUAAAAGUUGUUUGUUUGACUUUUUUUUUCUUAGAUUUUAAAAAAGUUACCGAGAAGUAGACAAUGCAAUGUAAAAUACCCAUUAUUGCAACCCCAGGGAAUUUGCGAGGUGUCUGAACCAGCUAUCUAAUGUUGGCAUACUACUACCCACAAGGUAAACAGCGAUGUAUUGUAUUGAGUCGGAUAGUUAAAAUUUGGGUGGUGCAUGUCAGGCCACGGAGAGGUGCUCGGAGAGGGUUUGCACCGUCAGAGAGGUCUCUCAGUGUCUCUGUGUAUCCGAAAACGGAUGACCAUAAAGCUGCCUUUAGUCGCCAGCUUUUGAGCUGUGGAAGUGUCAAAGCUGUGCCAGUGAGCACACAAGCCUUUAGAACUGUUUCAAACCGACAUCGACGAGUGUAAGAAAACGGUUCUGGGCAGUAUUUGCCAGGAGCACCUUUACAUGGAAUAAACUGCAGUGCUUCUUUUGUUCAAAACAAUAACAUUUGCUGUAGCUUGUCAGACAUGUUUUAUAUACCCUAGCCAUAUCCAUUUUAACUGACUGUUAUAUUGUUAAUCAAGGUGUGUGAUUUUGAGCCUGUAAAAAAAGAGGCUCUUAUGUUGCAAAUGUUGCCAGUCAGUCACCAGCUUUUAAGCUGUGGAAGCGUCAAAGCUGUGCCAGUGAGCACACAAUGAGUUAAACCCUUUAGUGUAAAUCAGUACUGUUUCUAACCAAGAGAGCCUAGCAUACUAACUCUUGUUUCACAGUAAUCAAUGUGGACUCCAGCUUUGCUCUGGGCUUUGGAAGGAGAGACUCAGUGAACACAAAACGAGUUGAACCCUGUAGUGGAAAUCAAUACCGGUUAUGACCCAGGUGCCGUGUUAUUACAACUAUUAUAUACGUAUUGUUAUUUUUAGAAAUAGGUGAAGCAGAACUCUGCUGAGACUCUGACAAUCUGAGGAGCAGAAGAG